GCAUUAAUGGGGUAGUGGUAACCUGGGUCGUUGCCAUAAAUUCAAAUCUCGACCCGCCGGGUUUUCGAUUCCCUCUUAAUGCA